rnacentral:misc_RNA from 1 species
AGAGCCCAAACACACUUAACAUGUGACUCUUAAUGUAAUUUGGCCCAACUGCACUUAUUUUUUAUAUAUGGACUCAAAAUAUGUCAAUUAAGGUCCAUAAGCCAUAAGGUCAAAUUCAAACUCUAAAUAGUAAAUCACAUAUAAGUUUCAUUAACAUUGUCCAAAGAAGCUGAACAUGAGUUGAUAUCCAAAUCCGUUCCUUUUUCACCCUUAGCCUCCAAAUACCAUGAAUAA